GCCUUCACCACCACGCGUUGCGAGACCGAUUUCCGGAAAUAACAGUCCCGCCGUCCGGCUCCGAUGAUGUUCUAUCAAAUUCGUGUAGAAUCCAGCGUGAGUACGUGAGUGACAAUCAGAACUACCGUUGAUACCUUGCCACUGAAUGCCACUAACGGCAAUGCCGUAGCCACACCGAAAUCCAGGGGCACUACCCACCAACACCAAGACGCUGGAUAGCAGAGGUGCUCUCUUUAGUUUCGUUUUAUCUUGAAUUAUAGAAUACUUGUGUUCCAAUUGUGUAUUUAUCUGGAAAAUAAUCUGUAGCAAUAUUAAAAGACCCAGAGUGGGGUGAUCCAACCAA